rnacentral:rRNA from 1 species
AGUGAACGCUGGCGGUAGGCCUAACACAUGCAAGUCGAACGGCAGCACAGGAGAGCUUGCUCUCUGGGUGGCGAGUGGCGGACGGGUGAGGAAUACAUCGGAAUCUACUCUGUCGUGGGGGAUAACGUAGGGAAACUUACACUAAUACCGCAUACGACCUACGGGUGAAAGCAGGGGACCUUCGGGCCUUGCGCGAUUGAAUGAGCCGAUGUCGGAUUAGCUAGUUGGCGGGGUAAAGGCCCACCAAGGCGACGAUCCGUAGCUGGUCUGAGAGGAUGAUCAGCCACACUGGAACUGAGACACGGUCCAGACUCCUACGGGAGGCAGCAGUGGGGAAUAUUGGACAAUGGGCGCAAGCCUGAUCCAGCCAUACCGCGUGGGUGAAGAAGGCCUUCGGGUUGUAAAGCCCUUUUGUUGGAAAAGAAAUCCAGUUGGCUAAUACCCGGUUGGGAUGACGGUACCCAAAGAAUAAGCACCGGCUAACUUCGUGCCAGCCGCCGCGGUAA